rnacentral:ncRNA from 2 species
GCCUAUUGGUUGCGUCAUGGUUUUCCGGGGCGACUCGGAAACGAAAGAGGGAAGCCGGUGCGGACCCGUCAGGUCCAAAUCCGGCGCUGCCCCCGCAACUGUGAGCGGCGAGCGACGCUGAAUACGCCACUGGGACACGUCCCGGGAAGGCCAGCCAAGCAAAGACCCGCAAGUCAGGAGACCUGCCGUGACGGACGACGACAA